rnacentral:tRNA from 4 species
GCGCCUGUAGCUCAGCGGAUAGAGCACUGGUCUUCGGAACCAGGUGUCGGGGGUUCGAAUCCCUCCAGGCGCGCCA